CACGUAGGGGGCAAGCGUUGUCCGGAAUCAUUGGGCGUAAAGCGCGUGUAGGCGGCCCGGUAAGUCCGCUGUGAAAGUCCAGGGCUCAACCCUGGAAUGCCGGUGGAUACUGUCGGGCUCGAGUCCGGAAGAGGCGAGUGGAAUUCCUGGUGUAGCGGUGAAAUGCGCAGAUAUCAGGAGGAACACCAAUGGCGAAGGCAGCUCGCUGGGACGGUACUGACGCUGAGACGCGAAAGCGUGGGGAGCAAACAGG
rnacentral:rRNA from 1 species